UACGGAGGGGGCUAGCGUUGUUCGGAAUUACUGGGCGUAAAGCGCACGUAGGCGGCUUUGUAAGUUAGAGGUGAAAGCCCGGGGCUCAACCCCGGAACUGCCCUUGAAACUGCAGUGCUAGAAUCUUGGAGAGGCGAGUGGAAUUCCGAGUGUAGAGGUGAAAUUCGUAGAUAUUCGGAAGAACACCAGUGGCGAAGGCGACUCGCUGGACAAGUAUUGACGCUGAGGUGCGAAAGCGUGGGGAGCAAACAGG
rnacentral:rRNA from 1 species